GACGAACGCUGGCGGCGUGCUUAACACAUGCAAGUCGAGCGGAGCGGCGAACGGGUGAGUAACGCGUGAGUAACUGCCCCCCUCUCUGGGAUAACAGUUGGAAACGGCUGCUAAUACCGGAUAGUGGGGGAUGACUCGCGGCCUAUCAGCUUGUCGGUGGGGUAGUGGCCUACCAAGGCGACGACGGGAAGCCGGCCUGAGAGGGCGACCGGACACAUGGGGCUGAGAUACGGCCCAAGCGCCAACGGGGGGCAGCAGUGGGGAGUAUUGCACAGUUGUGGAAACCCUGAUGCAGCAACGCCGCGGGCGGGAUGACGGCCUUCUGGUUGUAAACCGCUUUCGGCCAUGACGCGGUAGUGGCAGAAGAAGCACCGGCUAACUACGUGCCAGCAGCCGCGGUAAUAC
rnacentral:rRNA from 1 species